rfam:Selenomonas ruminantium subsp. lactilytica TAM6421 DNA, complete genome.
CGGGAUGUAGCGCAGUUUGGUAGCGCGCCUGCUUUGGGAGCAGGAUGUCGCAGGUUCGAAUCCUGUCAUCCCGA